rnacentral:rRNA from 1 species
GUGAACGCUGGCGGUAGGCCUAACACAUGCAAGUCGAACGGCAGCACCGUAAGAGCUUGCUCUUACGGGUGGCGAGUGGCGGACGGGUGAGGAAUACAUCGGAAUCUACUUUUUCGUGGGGGAUAACGUAGGGAAACUUACGCUAAUACCGCAUACGACCUACGGGUGAAAGCAGGGGAUCUUCGGACCUUGCGCGAUUGAAUGAGCCGAUGUCGGAUUAGCUAGUUGGCGGGGUAAAGGCCCACCAAGGCGACGAUCCGUGGCUGGUCUGAGAGGAUGAUCAGCCACACUGGAACUGAGACACGGUCCAGACUCCUACGGGAGGCAGCAGUGGGGAAUAUUGGACAAUGGGCGCAAGCCUGAUCCAGCCAUACCGCGUGGGUGAAGAAGGCCUUCGGGUUGUAAAGCCCUUUUGUUAGGAAAGAAAAGCAGCAGGUUAAUACCCCGCUGUUCUGACGGUACCCAAAGAAUAAGCACCGGCUAACUUCGUG